rnacentral:rRNA from 1 species
AGUGAACGCUGGCGGUAGGCCUAACACAUGCCAGUCGAACGGCAGCACAGUAAGAGCUUGCUCUUACGGGUGGCGAGUGGCGGACGGGUGAGCAAUACAUCGGAAUCUACUUUUUCGUGGGGGAUAACGUAGGGAAACUUACGCUAAUACCGCAUACGACCUACGGGUGAAAGCAGGGGAUCUUCGGACCUUGCGCGAUUGAAUGAGCCGAUGUCGGAUUAGCUAGUUGGCGGGGUAAAGGCCCACCAAGGCGACGAUCCGUAGCUGGUCUGAGAGGAUGAUCAGCCACACUGGAACUGAGACACGGUCCAGACUCCUACGGGAGGCAGCAGUGGGGAAUAUUGGACAAUGGGCGCAAGCCUGAUCCAGCCAUACCGCGUGGGUGAAGAAGGCCUUCGGGUUGUAAAGCCCUUUUGUUGGGAAAGAAAAGCAGCAGGUUAAUACCCCGCUGUCCUGACGGUACCCAAAGAAUAAGCACCGGCUAACUUCGUG